ACGUUGAACCUUUUCUUCCGGGAAAGGGGGAGUCAUCAGUGAGAUACCACUCUUGGUAAGCUAGAGCGCUCAUUUUUAACCGUUAUCCGGUAAAAAGACAGUUUCAGGCGGGCAGUUUGACUGGGGCAGUCACCUCCCAAAAGGUAAUGGAGGUGUACAAAGGUUCUCUCAGGCUGGACGGAAAUCAGCCAUAGAGUGUAAAAGCAUAAGAGAGCUUGACUGCGAGACGGACAUGUCAAGCAGAGACGAAAGUCGGUUUUAGUGAUCCGACGGUGCUGAGUGGAAAGGCCGUCGCUCAACGGAUAAAAGUUACUCUAGGGAUAAC
rnacentral:rRNA from 1 species